CUUACGGAGAGUUUGAUCCUGGCUCAGGACGAACGCUGGCGGCGUGCCUAACACAUGCAAGUCGAGCGGAAAGGCCCUUCGGGGUACUCGAGCGGCGAACGGGUGAGUAACACGUGGGCAACCUACCCUCAGCACUGGGAUAACCCCGGGAAACCGGGGCUAAUACCGGAUACGACCUCGGGUGGCAUCACCUGAGGUGGAAAGCUUUUGCGGCUGAGGAUGGGCCCGCGGCCUAUCAGCUUGUUGGUGGGGUAACGGCCUACCAAGGCGACGACGGGUAGCCGGCCUGAGAGGGCGACCGGCCACACUGGGACUG
rnacentral:rRNA from 1 species